AACGCUUCACUGCAUCUGCAGGUAAAAGGGACACCAUGCAGUGUUUCUCCUGUGGUGGAUGCCUGGGAAACUGGGAAGACGGAGAUGACCCUUGGAGGGAGCAUGCCAAGUGGUUCCCCAAGAAGAACAUUUUGUGAAUUCCUGGGUCAGAAGAGAAUUACCUAUGGUGUCAGGCAAAAGUGACACUGUCCAGUGUUUUUCCUGUGGAGGAUGUAUGUGCAAUUGGGAGGAAGGUGACGACCCACCAGAAGAACACACCAAGUUUUUCCCCAACCACAAGAGCAACCAGUAGAAGUUUCCAGAAACUCGAGACCUUAGAUCUUUCAACGAAUCACAAGAUCACAGAGGAAGGGUACAGAAAUUUCUUUCAAGCCCUGGACAACCUGCCAAACUUGCAAGUUCUCAACAUGUGCAGGAGUAUCCCAGAACGUAUCCAAGUUCAGGCCACCACUGUCAAGGCUCUGAGUCAGUGUGUGUCCCGACUGCCCAGCCUCACCAGGCUUGAGAUUCUCAGUUGGCUCCUGGAUGAAGAGGACAUGAAAGUGAUUAAUGCUGUGAAGGCAAGGCACCCUCAGUCCAAACGCUUGAUGGUCUCCUGGAAAUGGAUGGUGCCCUUCUCUCCUGUCUUUCAGAAGUAACAGAUGCAGCAGCUGAAGGCCAUUGACAGUUCUAGAACCUCAAUUUUCCAACACAUUUUGGUCUACAAGGGUGUCACACAAUCUCAGAAUUUAGGAUAUUGAGGCAGGAGAUACCAGCUUGGAGCAUAUAGUAAAACUAUGCCUCCAAACCUACCCCAAACCCAAAAAGUUUUUCUAAUAAUUGCAUAUGCAAGACUAUUUAUUAACCAUGGAA